GGCCAGGUGACAAGGGCGGGGGCCGCGUCAAUCCGGGGCUGCGCUCUCGGGAGCGCCGCACCGGCCGGGAGAGGGGCCCUGCGGCUCCACAGACACCCGGGGGGCAGAGUGAAGCCAGAGCUGCCUGGAGGGACCCACUCGAGUUAGCGGCCCCGCGCGGGCAGCGCGCCCCGGGCUCUCCCUCCUGUCCUGGGGGCUGCCUGCUAAAGAGCUCUGGGUGCUCCCGGAUCAGCUCCACCACCAAGAAAGAAAUGCAUGUCUUGUAAAGCCCACCGUACACUUUGCAGUCUGACCCGUGGUCCAAAGCACAGCCAGCCCAGUCCCCCAACACAAGGAGCGCAGAGCUCUGGGGGAAAGAGGAGAGGAAAAUAAGGAAGUGCCGAGACACAUAACGGGGCAGUCUGGCCGACUGUGCCUGUCCCCAGUGUGGACGUGCGCGGGUGGGGAGUGGCCGGGUUCUAGGCAUUGUCAGGCACAACUGCUGUUCUUACCCCCAGGGAGAGACUGGACUGUGCUGCUGACAGCCCCAGCCCUGCCCCAAAGGGGGAGGAAGGAGGUACUGUGCCGAGAGCACCUGUUGUGGGCUCGUCUCCUCUUGGCGAUGGACACAGGCACAUGCUAACUAUUCCAGAUCCAGCUGGACCUCGGGUAUAUGCUUCUUGUUUUUGUUGGCAUGCAAAUAGUAUAUACAGCCCCUUAAUGCAGGUAUAUUGUUAUACAAAAAUGCGUCACCCCAUCUCUUCAGAGUUGCCUAGGAUUUAGCUGUAUGUCUCAUAUGAAAGACAAUGGGGGAGUGAUCAAAGUCAGCAAGACUUGUGUGACUAUACGCCAUGCAACUCUUCCAAAGACCCAACAAAUACUUUACGGAAGACAAUGUAACAUCUCCAUUUUCAAUGUGUCUUUUUGCUCUUCUGACCACAUGGUUCUCAGAUGUACUAUUUUAAGCCAUUUUACUGCGGUCAGGCAAGUGAAAUCCUCUCUGAAGUACUGACGAGUGUGGCAUCAUCUGCUUGAGCAGUACGUGGCAUUUUCUGUAGCCCUCUGGCGUAGGGAUACACUAUGACAUGACACUGGAAAACAGGGGCCUGAAAAUGUGUGUGGGGCCUGUCAGUGUGAGGCUAAGAUGCCUUUGUCUUAUUCACAGAGCUUUCAUCGUGAAAAUCUGAGGUUUCGCCAUCCCAGAAGGAUCAAUCCCGCCAGGUGCUGAGCAUCCUCUUGAAGGCAAUGUACCAGACUGGGCCUUUACAGGGGACCUUUAGAAUUGACCCCUGGAGAAGCCCCCCUCCCUCCCAUUCCUCCUCACUUACUAAAUCUGUUUAAACUAGGGAAGAGGGGUGAGGAGUGAGACCUUUUGGAGAAGCCACAUGGAUGUUUGUUUUCCUUGGGGGUUUAUAUCAACAUUGGUCUUGACAUUUCGCCUCUUAUUAUGUGUGGUUCUUUAAAGGGUGAAAUAAUAUUUUCCUUUGCUUGAGAAAAGGACAAAGUUCAGACAAAGCUCUCAGCCCAAAGUGAUUUUCUCCUUUCUCAACAGCUUAUACAUUGUCUACACUAUGGUUCUGUGCAAAGCGCCCCUCUCCAAACAGAGAGGAAACUGGAUGGAAGACGCUGCUCCCGAUGCAACGUACGCCCAGAGCACUGACCCCAUGUGGCAUCUCUGCUUGUACCAUGGACAAUGGGCACAUUCCAGAAACAAAGCGUAGACAUUUCCGAGUGAGUCAUUUUCAUAGUUUCCAUUGUUGGUAAAACCUGCUGUGAAACUGGAAAAUAAAAUUUCUUUUUCUGCCAA